rnacentral:rRNA from 1 species
GGACCCGCGGUGCAUUAGUUAGUUGGUGAGGUAAAGGGCUCACCAAGACCCGUGAUGCCAUAGCCGACCUGAGAGGGUAAUCGGCCACACUGGGACUGAGACACGGCCCAGACUCCUACGGGAGCAGCAGUAGGGAAUCUUCCACAAUGGACGAAAGUCUGAUGGAGCAACGCCGCGUGAGUGAAGAAGGUUUUCGGAUCGUAAAACUCUGUUGUUGGAGAAGAAUGUAUCUGAUAGUAACUGAUCAGGUAGUGACGGUAUCCCAAUCAGAAAGCCACGGCUAACUACGUG